AAGGGACAGUAAUAUGUAGGUACCUACCCUCGGGUCCGGGAUAGCUGCGGGAAACUGCAGGUAAUACCGGAUGACAUCUCCGGAUCAAAGGUGUGAUCCCGCCCGGGGAGGGGCCUGCAUCCUAUUAGCUUGUUGGCGGGGUAACGGCCCACCAAGGCAACGAUGGGUAGCGGGUGUGAGAGCACGACCCGCGUCAUUGGGACUGAGACACUGCCCAGACACCUACGGGUGGCUGCAGUCGAGAAUCUUCGGCAAUGGGGGAAACCCUGACCGAGCGACGCCGCGUGCGGGAUGAAGGCCUUCGGGUUGUAAACCGCUGUCGUAGAGGAGGAAAUGCAGGGGGGUUCUCCCCUCUGUUUGACCUAGUCUAGGAGGAAGGACGGGCUAAGUUCGUGCCAGCAGCCGCGGUAAGACGAACCGUCCAAACGUUACUCGGAAUUACUGGGCUUAAAGGGUGCGUAGGCUGCGCGGAAAGUUGGGUGUGAAAUACCUCGGCUCAACCGAGGAAUUGCAUCCAAAACUACCGUGCUCGAGGGAGACAGAGGUAAGCGGAACUCAAGGUGGAGCGGUGAAAUGCGUUGA
rnacentral:rRNA from 1 species